AAAACGUUAGUAAUGUAGUCACACAUUUCCAACACAUCACACGUCAUGUGUGAUGAAUACGUGUUGUGACGGCCCCAGGGCCCUCUACACGCUGUGUCUGUCUGGCAGGUCCCUGGGUGGCUGGGGGCCGUUAGGAGACGCCCAACCUGAAGACAAACGGGGACGUGGUGGUUUAUGUCGUUUGUUCCUUCUUGGUUUCUAUUUAUGGAAUGAAACUUUUUGUUUUAAUACUGGCUGUAAUCAUUGGGGAGCAAGACCGUAACAACGUGAACAUUUACACGUCUGACUACUGCAUGAAAGUAGUAAGACUUCCCGGGUCAGGCCAAGACCAGCGCACGGCUGGUUCACCCACUGGUUAACAACAUUUUAACUUUCACAAUUGAAACAGUAUUUGGCUUGAAAGGUAAGCAGCUAGCUAUGACUGUUUCACUUGCUGUUAGAACGCCCUGACGUUCUCUCCUUGUUGAGCAGCACUACUUUAGGAAAGACGGCGUAGGACCAGAGGAUCACCUUCCUCCUGGACCCGGCUGGGACGCUGAGGACAAUACGUGCUUUCAUUUCAACUCUUUCAGUGGCAGAAAUGUCUUCCACAGCGUCCUCCUGUGGUUAAUAUUAAGUUUAUACUAAACAACCAGGUUCAGUGAUGGUUCAGGGUCAUAACUUGUCUACCUGAACGAGUCCGUAAAACGAUCCGGUCUUCCCGUUAAUAAUUCUCCAUUCUUUCUCUAUCAGCCCUUCAGUCCAUUUAGUCGCUUCUGAUGUGAUUUGUUAGUCUAUUUUUCACAUCGUCCCCAUUACAGACCUCCUUGUAGUCAGUCUCCUUCCCGCCAGUGAAAUGUCCUGCAAAUAACCGUGUGACAAAGUGGGAGACAACUCACCUUUGUGAGUGAGUGUGUGUUGGUGUGUGUGUUGGAUGCUUGCCUUGCUCGGCAGGUGUGCUGGAGGCUAGAGGGGAGGGGCAGGCCGUGAUGUCAGCAGUGACAUCAGCGGGUUGGACCAGGUAUACGGGGGGGAGGGGGGGGUCGUAAUGGGUGUCACCUGUGCACAUGGUGCAACCCGGGCCGGGUUGAUGAAGGUGCAGGACAUUGACUGUUGGGGGGAAAAUGGUGGAACAUGUGUGUAGCUGAGGGCGCGUGUCAGAUGAGCUUAUGUUGAGAUUAUUCAGUUAAUGAAUUAGGUUUUGUUUUGUUGUUUGUGUUUAUGAGACGCGUAUCAGGGACCUUCCUUUUUUUUUGUCUCGUUGCCGGCCUCCUAAUUCCAGGAUUCUCUCGGCCGUGGCAUCCUCGCAAACUACAAGCGACUAAGGGCCAAAGGGGCAGAGGUCAAUAUCUGCUUCCUACACAAGCCUUAGCCUGACGGCUAAAAAAAGGAAUCAUGCUACCUGACAUCUUAGCAGGUAACAUGUCCGUGUUCAUCAUGUGUUGGUGUGGGAUGAAGCGUGUCAGUGACUCUGGACCAACGUGGUCGAGCGUCUUAUAUUUCAUAGUGGCUGUUUAGGGGGGAAAGGAAAGAGCACAAGACAAACGAUGUCUGUGACCUCGUCAGGGAAGGGAAAUAGAUCUGAAAUGGGUGUCGAUAAAUAGGGUGUCGCGUGCGGCUGACGCCAACUAGCUCCACGUAUGACUCACGUCUGCCUAUGUGGCCUUUGCAUAGAGGUCACUGCAGUGGACAGAUAUUCAACUGUUGUUUUCUUGUAUUUCAUGGGUUAUGAUGUCACACAUCAGCCACCACAGUGGAGGCCAUUGCAUCGUCCCACACGCUGCCCCCCAGUGGCAGGCAGUUGUAAGAGCAAGAUACAUUUCUCCAAACCGAGAUGGCUGACAGUCAGUCAGUCAGUCAUCGAUAUUUUGCCAAUCCUUCUAUACAAAGAGACCCUUGGAGGUAUACACGUGUUGGUGACAUCAAGUAACAUCUAAGGAAUUCAUAAAUGUUUCAAGUAUAGAAUUCAUAUUGGGAGGAAAAUAUGACUAAUUAUCUGUCCACUAAAUUCACUAAUGUCAUUCAAGUGGACAUGUUAAAUUAUCUUGAAAAAAUUUGAUUAAAAAAAAAAGUUCAAAUCUUGACGAAUAAAACACUUGGUAAAUCUUAAUUCAUGCAUGAAAAGGAUAUGGUGACGGGUUCCAAUAUCAAGCUAACGAUUGAUGACGCUAGCAUGCUGUCUAGGGUAGUGCUAGGCUAGGCUAAUGUUUAGUCAGUCUAGUAGCUUGCUGUCUAGGGUAGUGCUAGGCUAAUGUUUAGUCAGUCUAGUAGCUUGCGGUCUAGGGUAGUGCUAGGCUAAUGUUUAGUCAGUCUAGUAGCUUGCGGUCUAGGGUAAUGCUAGGCUAGGCUAAUGUUUAGUCAGUCUAGUAGCUUGCUGUCUAGGUAGUGCUAAGCUAGGCUAAUGUUUAGUCAGUCUAGUAGCUUGCUGUCUAGGUAGUGCUAAGCUAGGCUAAUGUUUAGUCAGUCUAGUAGCUUGCUGUCUAGGGUAGUGCUAGGCUAGGCUAAUGUUUAGUCAGUCUAGUAGCUUGCUGUCUAGGGUAAUGCUAGGCUAGGCUAAUGUUUAGUCAGUCUAGUAGCUUGCUGUCUAGGGUAGUUCUAAGCUAGGAUAAUGUUUAGUCAGUCUAGUAGCUUGCUGUCUAGGGUAGUGCUAGGCUAGGCUAAUGUUUAGUCAGUCUAGUAACUUGCUGUCUAGGGUAAUGCUAGGCUAGGCUAAUGUUUAGUCAGUGUAGUAGCUUGGCGUAGAAAGAGGGACAUUGGGAGCUUAUAUGUUUGUACUUAGCUUAUCAAGAGAGAGAAAGAGUAAUGCUGUAUCUUCUCCAUGUGGAUUUAAUAAUGCUAUAUUAAUUACUGACUGCAGAUAAUAUAGUUAGCCAGGCUAUGACAGUAGUAUGUCCACAUUGUCUUAUUCUGUUCAACAAUUUAUAUCAGGGGUUGUAUUGAUAAUGAAUCUUACUACGAGGACGUGGUGGACGUAUAGUCACACUGCUUUUAAAUGUGAUUGUCUUUGUGCCUUUUGUAUGUUCAUGCUGGUGUUGUACGCCACCUCCACCUCCUCAUCACUGGCCAGUCUGUGCACAUUCAUCCUCCUCUUCUGUCUGUGGCUUUCAUAUAUUGAGUGAAUUAAUAAUGAGUGCUCGACCAUGCUUUAAUGUCAGCUUUCACUCUUCGUUCCUCAUUCUCUGUUUAUUCUGCUUUUGGGAGGGUUUUUUACCGCCUGCCUGAGUACACGUUCCUCCCAUUUCAAAAACUAUUUUUUAAAGCAUUUCUGAAUGGAAAUGAAUGACCAAUUUUAAUGGUUUCCUUCAAACACUUUGACCAGAUGUACAGUUAUUGCAACAUAUAAAAUAAAGUACACCACAAUUUGAACAUGUUUUUUAAUAGUCUUUAUUUAUGCCUUCAUCUCUUACACAAGACAUUUCCUAUCAAGACACUAUUAUAUUACCCACAAACCAUGAACGACGCUUCGGUAGUCUUGGCCAUGCAUGGACACGGUUACCAUCCAUCGGCCAGCGAGUUGACCGUGUCACCAACCCACCGACAGCAAUGAAUGUGAACUGGGAACCUGCUGUUUCACGUGGAGUCGUCCCAGCGAGGAGCCAUCCGUGAUGCUGUGGGUAGAUCCGUGGAAGCAGCCGAUGAGGCGUACAUCAUGUGUCCCAACCCUUCAGAGCACCGGUCUAAGUGGUCUGAGGUGGUCCGACCCCGGUGGUCUACCAAGGGCUGUUGCUACUGAACAAGUGAACGAGCUGCUUUCCUUCCGAUCCCUUUUUGAAUGACAGUUGGUUGUGUUUCAUUUCCCACAAUGCAGCUGUGCCAGAGAGAGACCCCUUCCACCCAACGUCACAUUGCAUA
ensembl:lncRNA